rnacentral:rRNA from 1 species
GACGAACGCUGGCUGCGUGCUUAACACAUGCAAGUCGAGCGGAGCGGCGAACGGGUGAGUAACACGUGGGUGACCUGCCCUGCCCUUCGGGAUAAGCCUGGGAAACUGGGUCUAAUACCGGAUAGUGUGGGAUGGGCCCGCGGCCUAUCAGCUUGUUGGUGGGGUAAUGGCCUACCAAGGCGGCGACGGGUAGCCGGCCUGAGAGGGUGGACGGCCACAUUGUGACUGUGACACGGGCCAGACUGCUACGGGAGGCAGCAGUGGGGAGUAGUGCACAAUGGGCGGAAGCCUGAUGCAGCGACGCCGCGUGGGGGAUGACGGCCUUCGGGUUGUAAACGCCUUUCACCAUCGACGCGGUAGAUGGAGAAGAAGCACCGGCUAACUACGUGCCAGCAGCCGCGGUAAUAC